GGGGGUGAAGGGCUUUCGACGUGGAGAGUGAAGUAUUACUUGCGUGUCGUCGUGUCUGGCCGACGUAAAUGCCGGGUCGUAACAAUUGCAAACGAUAACGCAAUCGCUCUAGCAGCAUAAACUGUUAGGCUGUCCGACCGCGAGAUUGUCUUGGUAGCGGAAGGGCAUCAUCACUAAGGCUGGAUCUAGUGAGGAGGCUUUCGAUAGCUAGGUUGAGAUCAGCGAAAGAUAGGCGUCGGCCGAAUCCGACAACCCAGUUAUUGGGGACACAAUAACUACACACGUGAAUGAGGGUGAUAGGGAUCCUUCGCGGACCCGAGUUCGAUUCUCGGCGCCUCCAAAA
rnacentral:tmRNA from 1 species